CUCAUCACGGCGCACGCGAGGGCUGGGCGAGUCGCCGACGCCCGCUCCCUGUUUGACGAAAUGCCCGAGAAGAAUGCUGUGUCCUGGAGUGCCAUGGUGAAUGGGUACGUGCAGGCUGGGGACGGGAGGGAAGCGCUGAGGGUGUUCUCUCAGAUGCAGGCCCAAGGUGUCCGCCCGGACGACACGGUUCUCGUCGGGGUGCUUGCCGCGUGCCCGCAGCUGGGGGCUCUGGAGCAGGGGAAGUGGGUGCAUGGUUACCUCAGAGCAAACAAUAUCAGGAUGACCGUGUUCCUGGGCACUGCGUUGGUUGAUAUGUAUGCCAAAUGCGGUGAGGUGCAGCUUGGAAUGGAGGUGUUUGAGGGAAUGAAAGACAAGAAUGUACUGGCCUGGACUACCAUGAUAAAGGGCCUGGCUAUGCACGGCCGAGGCUCAGACUCAUUGGUGCUCUUCUCCCAGAUGGAGAGCUCAGGUGUGAAGCCGGAUGACAUUGCCUUCAUUGGUGCUCUCUGUGCUUGCACACACACUGGGUUGGUUGACAAGGGUCGGCAGCUUUUCAAUUCCAUGGUGAACAACUAUGGUAUUAAACCAAAGAUUGAGCAUUAUGGAUGCAUGGUAGACCUCCUGGCACGGAAUGGCCUGCUGAGUGAGGCCAGAGACAUGGUUGAGAAAAUGCCCAUGAAACCGGAUGCCUUAAUCUGGGGAGCUCUAAUGGCUGGUUGUAGGUUUCACAAGAAUGUGGAGUUGGCUGAGUAUGUUAUAAAGCACUGGAUUGAAUUGGAGCCAGACAAAAGUGGUGCUUAUGUACUUUUAGGUAACAUAUAUUCUGCCUCUGGUAGGCAUGCUUCUGCGAGGGAAAUUAGGCACCUAAUGCGUGAGAAGGGAGUUGAGAAGACACCUGGAUGUAGCAAUGUGGAGAUUAACGGAGUUAUCCACCAAUUCAUUGUUGGAGAUCUGUCUCAUCCGCGCAUAAAAGAUAUUUUGACAAAGUGGUAUGAGAUAGAUAGUAGGAUAAGGCUGGAGAGAAGGUUACGUGCCUGA
rnacentral:rRNA from 1 species